AACUCUCUCUCUUUCUGAUUGAGUGUAAGCUGCUAUAUGAAGGGAUCCACAAGACGAAUAAUUAAGGGGGACCUCUGAUCAACAGCCAGCAAGGAACUGAAUCCCUCAGACCCACAACUCACAAGAAACUGAAGCUGAAGCAGAUUCUUCCUCAGUCAAGCUUCAGGACCUGCUUUGCAGAAAGGAUCUCAUUGAGAAUAGCAAAAGGAAGUUGGGAACCAUUACAGUGCCCAGCUGUAUUGGUAGAGGAGACCAACCACACCCUCCACAGCACAGCACCUGGAGAGGAACUGCUGCCAUGACCAUAGAGGACACCCUCUGGAUACAAUGCCAGACUUGAUGUGGGACUGACCAACCUAUGGACCCCAGGCACCACCACCCAGACCUGCUCAGCACCUGAAACAUUCACAGCCGUGGAGAGAGAACUGUUCACUGCUACCAUCCACACUUCUGGGCCCCUUCAGCAGCAGGGUGACAAGGAAGAGGGAAAUCGACUUGGAAAAGAGGGGACCUCUGACCCAAGAGUUCGGUCAAUGCAUAUGUUGGCAGCCAGCUGCACAUCGCACCAAAUAUGAACUUCAAAUAGAAGAAAGCCUCAUUUGGAAGAAAGCUCAUGCACAGACUGUAAAUAUUUCAGAGCAGAUUGUGUCUCUGUAGAUUAACACCAUGUUGCUCCUCCUCGGACACAGGCUGAUCCUAUCUCAGCAUUCUUGGAAGGCUAAGAGAGAGUAAUAGAAGAACAAAACUGUGUCUGAAAAUGUAGGGCUGCAUGGUUGCUACACCUAUUGACACAAGUGAGGGAUGGACAUAAAAAUGCAAAUAAUUAAAAAGGCCUUUUUGACAGGAAAGAGUGGCUCCUACAGCCAAGCCGGAUACAGUGGCUUGCACCUGUGGUCUCAGCGACUUGGGCGACUGAAGCAAGAAGAUCACUUGAGCCUAGGAGUUCGAGGCUACAGCAAGCUAUGACCGUGCCACUGCACUCCAGCCUGGGCGUGACAGACCAGCUCUUCUUCUGAAGGAUGACCACCUGGAAUAAGAGCAGCCCUAGGCCCCCCACCUCACUCCAGGUGGCAGAUCCACAGAGAUGGUAGCGAUACAGAAGCACAGCUUCCGAUGGCUUCCCCGUGUCUUCAGUUUGCAGCCUUAUUUCGGUGCUUGGACGUGCUUAACUUCUCAGGAUUAUAUUCUGCUUUGGAGUGCAAGGAGAAAGUCACAGUCUAGUUUUAUGAAGACCAAACUAGAGAAAAUCGAGUUAUCUUAAAGUGUAUGACAUCUCCACAAAUGAAUGUUUAUGGCUUUACACUUGGAGUGUUCUUGGAACACUCUUCAUAGCAAAUCCUCCCUCAGAAGACCCCCACCUGGCAUCAGAACAAACGUCUACCUAAUCUUCCAAACUCUGUGUAAAUCCUGGAUCCACCAUUUACCAGCUGUGUAACCCUGGACAACAAUUCCAUCUUUCUGACCUCAGUGUCUUUCUCUGCAAAACAGCGGUAAGAAUGAUCCUACUUCAAUAGAGUUGCUGUGAGGAUUCACUGAGAUCAUGUGUACCAAGCUCCUACAAUAGUACUGAACCCACAGCCAUGGAUCAAGACCAUUAACUUAUAAUCAGUGAUAGCCAAGAGGAUGGGAAGAGAAUAUUAAGCCUGGUGCUCUGCAAAUUAAUACUUGCAGGUUGGGAAGCCAGAUAUCCACAUUAUCUCACAUCACAUCACUGAGCUCUGUGGCCCAGUUCUGACUACAUGUUAGAAGCAGAAGUCUGCAGGGGAUGGCUUCUGAGAAAACUUGUAUUUAUUAUUUAAAUUUAACCUUCUAGCCUGGGAAUAAAUUCCAGCUUGCUUAGAACAAUACAGCACAGAAGAGAGCCUGAGUUCCUGGUGCAUCCCUGUGCCAGUGUCUCAAUCCUGCCCCACCGAUUUCCAAUUUCUUAUUAUGUGAAAAGCAACCCUCCCUUCUUUGAUUAAGUCAUUAUUGAUAGGGUUUUUUUGGUGACUUGCAUCCAAAUGCAUUCCUUAACUCAAACAAAAUAGAAGGGGAAUUCCACAUUCACACUGUUGCAUCAGACAAGCUCUGGCUUCUCAGAACUUUAGUUUUCCAUUUACUAGAGCUCAGAAUCAAAGAGACAGUAAAGAAACCCAUUUAAAAAUUGCUUGGCAUAUAUAUCUUGGGUGAUGGGACUUCAUGGGUAAUAUUUUUAAAAUUUCUUUGUGUAUUUUUCUUUUAUUGUCAAACGUUAUUAAAGAGACCAUAGAUACCUUUUGUAAUUAUAAUAAAAAACAAAAUGUUACUAAGAACAGUGAGAACUCUUAAGCUAACUACAAGAUAAUUAAUAUAUAACUGCAAAAUAUAAAAUACCAAAGCCAUUUUCAAAUAAAGAAACAGAGCCACAUGAAACUUUGCAGUUUAGCCAAAGUCAUUUCAGGAUUCUGAAGCUGGGGAGGAAGCAAGGCUUACUUAGCCCGUGGCUAGAAUUCACUUUUGAAAACUCCAUUUUUGUCCAUUCCCUCUUAUCACUACUUGCUUGCAAGUUAGGAAACAAAUUAGAACAAAAGCAUUGUUUGUCGUCAGUGGUCAAUGUUCAUUGCUUUACCAGAGGCUCGGGAUUAGAAGAUUCUCAGAACCAGUUAGCUCCUGAUACAAUCGGGCCUUGAUAUGGUUUGGAUUUGUGUCCCCACCCAAAUCUCAUGUCGAAUUAGAGGAGGGGCCUGGUGGGAGGUGAUUGGAUCAUGGGGGCAGAUUUCCCUCUUGCUGUUCUCAUGAUAGUGACUGAGUUCUCAAAGAUCUUAGGGUUUAAAACUUUUGUGGCACUUCCAUCUUCGCUCUCUCUUCCUCUCUCAUGCUGCCAUGUGAAGAAGGUGCCUGCUUCCCCUUUGCUUUCUGCCAUGAUUGUACGUUUCCUGAGGCCUCCCAGUUGUGCUUCCUGAUAAGCCUAUGGAACUGUGAGUCAAUUAAAUCUCUUUUCUAUAUAAAUAA